UCUCAUUAAAGGUUGAGAUCACUUGUUCUCCGCCGCGAAUCUAGGGAGGGUUUUGCCGCCAAUCCGAGCGGGGAAGCUCACCGGAGACGAGGUAAGCUUCCGUACUUCCUUAUUCCAGCCUUUGAGCCAUUGCCUCCACCUUGAUAACUGGUCGGCGAAUCGCCGGAUUGAGCUCUGGGCAAGUCUCCUGUUUUUUCUAGUUCCAACUUCUUUCCUCCUCGUCCAGUCGGCCGUUGUCAGGCAUGGCACGCCGCCGGCACCGCAUGGGCCAUGGACCGCCGAAGGUCAUCGGUACCGAGCAGCUGUUGCCGCCGAGCUCCUCCCACUUCACGAGAAGAAGGAGAGAGAGAGAGGGAGGGAGCCUCAUGGUUCCCCUUCCCUUGUUUUCUCCAUCUUCUCUCUCUACUUUCUUUAUCCUCUCUCCACUUUCUCUCUUAGAAUGUUCUAGGAACCUGGAGCCGAGUCACGUUGACCUGAUCAGCAAAUACGAGUUGACCCCUAGAAAGAGGCCUUGAAUUGCUUGGGUGCCUGAGGUCGCCUAUUGGACUGAUCACCCGGCCUUGUCAAAGUCCAUAAAACCCACUGAUAAGGAACUAUAUUAAACGACCCUGAUCCUGAUCAAGUCCAUGUUCUAUAAUUUGUUGACCGAAUCGCUUAGGCUUGAUCCAUCCGGAAUCGUCGAAUGCUCGUCCUUAUUUCUUAUUAUUUUAAUUCGAUUAAAAUUAUCAAAUAGAAAGUAAUUAUGUUUUUAAUAUUUUUAAAGGAUUAAUUGAAUUACUUAGUAAAGUUUAACAGUUUAAGAUGAAAGAGGUAAGAAGAUCUUGCACUCCUUAUUAUUUUUUAAAUAAUUAUGUUUUUCGUGCAUAAAAUUUGCUUAUGGAAAUAUCAUGCUUUUUUAAAAAUUAUGGAUCAACAUAUGUUUAUAGAAAUUAUUAUUUAUUAUAAAAAUAGUUUCAUGAAUGUUUCGAUGAAAAUCACUUUGUUAUGAAAUAUGAAUAUGAUCAUACCAUUUAAUAUUUUUUAUUUAUAUAUAUAUUAAGAAAAAGAUAUAAGUUUUCAAAGACUUUCUGAUUGCUAUGACCGCCUCAUAAAUAGGGGUCGAUCGACACCCUGAAGCUAGCAUCUAAUAAAAAUGGCCCUCUAUCAAUAGAUUAAAUUUGGUAACAAAUAUGAACCAUGAAAUCUUACUGAUUGCGAAGAUAGCCCUGGUUAGUAACCAUGGCACAAAUAUCUGUGAGCAAUGUUUUGAUACAUGAUAGGAUUAAAUGUCAUGAAAAACGAUUUACGAAGUUAUUUGUAAUAAUGAACUUGGUACUAUGUUUAUGAAGGUUAGAUGAUUUGUUCCUGCAUGAUUUGCUUUAUGACUUAUUUUUAAUAUACUACAUUAUGAAAUACUUAUUUUGAAAUAUCUGCUAUUUUUUUAAAUGAUGCAAUGAUGUGGAAAACUUAUGCUUAAUCUAGUAAGUAGUGAAAGAUUUACUUACGGAGCUGUGUCUAUCAUAUACCUAUAUUUUUAUUUCUCUUUCUCCAGGUAAAUAGGAUCAGUAGGGAUGAAGGUUCGUCCAUGCUUGGAGUUCGCACUAGCAUGCUUGGCAAUUUUGUAGAAGAAUUUUAUUAUUAACUAUAAAUUUGUAGCUAAUGAUCUUCUGAAUAUUGAGGUUGAUGGGUUUGGUAUUGAUAUUGGAUUUAGAAGCUCUGAACUAAUUUUAGUUUUAUUUAAUAGACGAUGAAAUUAGAUAUUUUAUUAUUUUAUUUUGCUGUGAUGGAAUUUGAAAGCUAAAAGUAAUGUUGGCUUCGUGUUUUCAUGGGUUGUAACCCUCGGUAACACGG
rnacentral:lncRNA from 1 species